rnacentral:rRNA from 1 species
GAAAGCAUCUAAGCAUGAAGCCCCCCUCGAGAUGAGAUUUCCCAACUUCGGUUAUAAGAUCCCUCAAAGAUGAUGAGGUGAAUAGGUUCGAGGUGGAAGCGUAGCGAUACGUGGAGCUGACGAAUACUAAUCGAUCGAAGACUUAAUCAAU